CAUCAGAGAGACAACCAUCUCAGAAGCAAUCCUAAAGGUGACAAUCUCUGUUAUUGCACCAGCCCUUAAAGCGUGUGAAAGCUGGACAGUCAACAUGCAAAACAGGAAGAUCAAUGAUGCUGUUGAAUUAUGGUACUGAAGAAGAAUAUUUGGAUUAUGGAUUCCAUGGACUGCCCAAAGUACAAAUAAAUCAGUAUUAGACAAGAUAAGACCUAAGCUCUCCCUAAAAGCACAACUGACAAGACGGCGCCUUUCCUACUUUGGACACAUCAAAAAAGGAUCCCUAGAGAAAGACAUUAUGCUUGGAAAAACUGAAGGCCAACAAAAAAGGGAAACGACCAGCAGUGAGAUGGCUUGAUACAAUUACAACAACUAUGGAUAACACACUAUCAACACUGAGCCGCUUGACUGAAGAUCUACAUUUGUACAUGGCAGCUAUCCAUAGGGUCACCAUAAGUCGGUAUCAACGGAACUUAACUAACAAACUUUAGGAUGAUGCAAAUGUACCAAGCUUAUAAUAAGUAUCAUAAUAAGUAUCAAGCUAAGCAUAGGGAUAAUGGAUAGCACUGCAUGCGGACAAAUAUACACAUCAAGGGCCCCAGUUAUCAGCUAAACAUAGUGAGUGCUAAAGGGGUUAUGUCCCACUUUCAAUAUUCAACAAACAGCGGUAACCCUUUUGGGGCAUUGCUGGGUCCCGCCCGGUAAACUGUCAUGCACAUGCGCAGACUGGACAUCAUGCAGGCGCACGACAUAGCAGCCCAUCGCUGAGGAGGGAGACAGCACAGGACCUUGCCGGAGAGGUAACUAAUGCUGAAUACCAGCUGCAUAUUUGUCAGUAUAACUGCCGCUGGCAUUACAAUUGCAGUAGUUGAUAAAUGGGGCCAUUAGUUCUGUGCAUUAAAAGAAUAUGUGUGUUCAA